rnacentral:rRNA from 1 species
GUCUAUGGCCAUGUUACCCUGAACAAGCCCAAUCCUGUCUGAUCUCGGAAGCUAAGCAGGGUUGGGCCUGGUUAGUACUUGGAUGGGAGAUCACCUAGGAAGACCAGGUGCUGUAGGCA